rnacentral:rRNA from 1 species
CAGGCGUAUUCUAGAGUCAGGUUGCUUGAGAGUGCAGCCUAAAGCAGGUGGUAAACUCCAUCUAAGGCUAAAUAUUACAGCGAGACCGAUAGCAAACAAGUACUGUGAAGGAAAGUUGCAAAGAACUUUGAAGAGAGAGUUCAACAGGACGUGAAACCACUAACAGGCAAACGGAUGGAACCACGAAGUAUGACUGAUCACUCAAUUCAGCCAUAAUCAUUGGCGAUUCUGGCGUUUUACGGGCCCGUUUUGGGUUGUUGGCGUCGGUUUUUGUGUCAAUGAUUACGGUGCAUUUUGUAGUGUCAGUGCUAAAGCCACGUCCAAUUGAAUGACUGGAACGGUUGUAGUAUGAAUCAGCAGGAAGGUGGCUUCUCGCUUUCGGGCUUGAAGUGUUAUAGCCUGUCGAUUGGACCGUUUCCGAGUGUAUCGAUUGGUUCAAGUUCUCUAGCAAUAGAGUUUGUUGGUUGCUUGCCAGUGUGCAUCUCUCAUUGCUGCACGGCCGUUCUUUUGCGUCUUCGUGAUGUACAAAGGCGACUGUGUAUGCGGUGUCUGUGUGUGCACUGUGCAGUGUAGCUCUCAACAGUGGCCCGAGUAGGUCGGUGUCCAUCCGACCCGUCUUGAAACACGGACCAAGGAGCCUACCAUGCACGCGAGUCGCUCAGUCUUGUAUAGGCUCGGGAGGCGUAAUGAAAGUAAAGCUACGAGGCUGUAACAGGUCGCAGUAGCAGCCCGCCUGCUUUCUCUAUCGGGAAUAUGGCGGAGCCGGAGCGUGUACGG